rfam:Gossypium hirsutum cultivar TM-1 chromosome 25, whole genome shotgun sequence
AUUCCGUGAUGAGGGUACUUCAGUAAUAAUUCUUUGUACCUUUCCCAUGCCUCAUAUAAGGACUCAUCAUCCAUUUCUUGGAAAGCAGUGAUCUCGUUCCUCAACUU